UUAUUUCUUCUUGUUAGCGCUAGUACAUUCUUGGUUUUCCCUAUAGGGAAGCUCUGGCUCCUUUCCUUCCGAUCGUGUGAUUCUCCACUCUCCUUUCUGCCGGGGGGAUGUAGAUAGUUUUCCUCUUUUUUCUUUUCUUUGCAAAAUUUGUGCUUACCUGCGAGAGCUUCUUUCCAUCUACUUCUUUGUUGUUUUUGUGUUUCUCUACUUGCAAGCUGAUUUUUUUUGCUGUUAUAUUUUUUUUUGCAGGUGUGGAAGAUGGAGGCCCUGCUAGUGUUCUACAGUUUUAUGGUUGUUUUUCAGGGCGUCUUCUCGUAGGCUCCCUUUUGCUUGGUCUGAAAACCUCAUAUGAAGUUACGACGCUACCAUUAAUUGGCUUUUCGGUCCUUUGCCUACAUGGGAUUGAGACGGCUUAAGCUUUUUCCAGCCGCCCGUCAAGCUCUCCUCUCCUCUUUCCUCUUUCAGUGUGCUUUACAGCUUUGUCGUUAUUAUCUUCGUCCUUGAUGUUCUUGUUUUGGUAGAUUUAGGUGGAUGGUGCUUUAUAGCUUUGUCGUUAUUAUCUUCGUCCUUGAUGUUCUUGUUUUGGUAGAUUUAGGUGGACGGUGCUUUAUAGCUUUGUCGUUAUUAUCUUCGUCCUUGAAGUUCUUGUUUUGGUAGAUUUAGGUGGAUGGCAACCUUGUAGUGUUCUAUAGAUUGCUCAUUUAUCCUUUAGCUUGGGUCUCCUUCCUUUUUGAGUCGAAAAUCCUGUUAGUUCUAAGAUUUGUGUUAUUUGAUCGAGAUUUAUUUUUUCGGCUGAGCUAUGCAUUUUGGGUCUG
rnacentral:lncRNA from 1 species